AAGUGAGACGUAGAUAUAAUUAAGUUUUAUCAUAAGCAAACAGCUGCAAGCUUCGAGUCUGAUGACAGCUCUUCCAACUUAGUGACUACAGUCUCCUUGUCUUAUCCAUCAAAUAAUUUGUCCUGAAUUUCCCUGUUCACCACAUCUUUCUUCCUUCGCUGAGAAACCUUUAUCAUCUUAGUUAUUUUAUCUCAUUUCAGCCAGCUAUGUCUCACACUGUUCACCUGAAUCUGUUCGGCAGUUCCUGAAAUAUAAAUACAAAUCUUUUAAGAAAAUCUGAAGGAAACCAAGUAAAUGCUAAUGUUUAAGCAAAAUAGAAAAAUAUAACAAACCCCUCAUAUAGUUUUUGAGAUGUGAAAUCCCCGAGAGCAAGUUCGAUCAUAGGCGGGGCCAGCACAGGCUCCCCCUGGACCGAAUCCAGUGAACGGUUGGCUGAUUGCUAUUCAGAAUCUUCCUCAAAUUCCUCAUCUGACAGCUCAUCAAAAGCUCUCAAGUCAAGCUGAUAACGAAGAAUUCCACCAAUGCCACCAAAGCCUCUACAAAAUUGAGACCCCUCUUGUGAUUUAUUAGUAACAAAUUCAAGGGUACAUCCAAAACGUUUGUAUUCAUUUGCAAACCACUCCAGCAAAGAAAUUUUCUCCUGCACCUCCAGCUCUGCAGAGGUAGCAGAAUCCAGAAAGUUAUUCUGAUCUGUUUCUUGAUCCUUCCUCAAAUGCUUUAUGAUGGUCUCCCCACUAGUACUAUGCUUAAGGACAUAUCUGUUUAUAUCCAAAUUCUCCCACACAAUUAAGGUCUCAACAGCACCCAUCUCAAGAGCUUUCAAGGUGUCCUCCACACCAAAAACAUACUUCCCAGUGUCUUGACUUAUUUCCUCAAAAUACUUACCUAUCAAUUUUUUUUCCUGUAUGAACUUGACAUUUGACAGAAUCUCAGCAGAUAGUUCAAUGGCUUGGUUAAAACCGUUCUCACCACCAUAAGAGACAUCAACCACAUUAAGAAUUUUAGCCUGUAAUCGUUGAUCAAACAUGUCAGAUUGGCUCAACUCUGUUUUAAAAUCGGCAGAUCCAGCCAAAAUCAAUCCAGCAACAUUAGGCUGACUUGUGGCAGGGUUGAUAAAAAAUUGUGUUGCAAGCUCGGCAGUCUUGCGGACGUAGUUAUGGCGCUUCUCCAUCCGAAGGCGAGCAAAUCGCAAUGCUGAUUGCCCUCCUCUCCCAUGCUUUUUUGGAAGGUCAACUGUGAACUUGUGAAGCACCUCACGUGUAUUUCCACUUAAAGUGCCAAAAAGAGUGCCAUUGCCAUCCAUUACUAUGAAACCAAACUUGUCAUCAGAUUCCAAAAGCUCAUUUAAUGCCUCUGUAUGGAACUUGUUAUCACAGAGAUAAAGAGAAGCAUUGAUGGGCUUGAACGGCUCAAAAUCUAUUGUGACCUUCUUUUCUUUUCCAUCCUCGGUAACAAUUGUUCCUGUGUAUAAAACUAGUCCAUUUGGAGGAACCUUGUUGUAAAGCUUCAGUCUCUGCUGAGCAGAAGUGAUUGCACCUAGGACAGAUUGCCGAUUGACUCUACUUUUGAUAUUCGAAGCAGUUCCGUAUUCAUCACCUAGCAUCUUAGUGACUCGAGAAACUUGAUCACGAGGUGGCAUAAUUAGAGAGAUCAUGCUAGUGCCAUUACCUCUAGCUUCUUCCAGAGCCCGGAUUAAUUUCUUGACCUUCCAGAUCUCAAUGUUCUUAUCUGUUUCAGCCAUUUCAAUGAAUCUAACACAAGAAAUAGCUUAGGUAGAUCUACCUGAAAAGAAUGAAUAUAUGUACAUAUAUAUUAAAUUUACAUGGAAAGUAUGCAACAACUAUGAACUAACUACGAACUAUCAGAGGAACAAAAGGAAUCCUAUGUCAUACAUACGUACAUGCCACACAGAUUGAAACAGCUUAAUGAAGGGAUGCUGAAAACGCAAUUUCAUGAACAAAAAUAACAGUGUGUAUAGCUCUAACAACAUUUAAGAUUUCAGCAAGCACAAUAAACAUCCACAUUUGGUUGAGGAACAGUGACUUCUAGUGCAACCAUGGGUAAAAAUAUAAUUUCAAAUUUAGACUAGAAGUAAUUGGUCUACAAGCACAGGAAAACUAUAAGCUUUCCUUUCAGAAAUCAUGUAUAGCUCUAACAUGUUCAAGAUUUACAGUAAACACAAGAAACAUCCACAUCAGGUCCAAAAACAUCGACUAGUAAUCUAAUCCUUAAGUAAAAAAACUAACUACAAGUUUAGACUAAAGUAACUGGUCUGCAAGCAUGGGAAAAAUAUAAGCUUCCCUUCAGAAAUCAGGUAAAAUGAGUAAUAUUUUAAUCUGACAAACAAAAAAAAAGCAAAAUCAAUAGUGUGAAAGAGGAUUAUAUGACAAUUUAAAAGUGAGAGCUUUGAACUGUAAAAGUAGCACAAGAGAAGUACAAUGAUAAAAAAAGAGAUAAGUAAAAUGAUUAACGAAAGUAAAAUGCCCCCUUUUGCCACAAAACACUAGUAAAAUGCACACACCUUAUACCCCACGUAGACUAUCCCUCAUAGGUUAUUACUAAAGUACAAUUUCAAAAAUACAUAAUGAUAGCGUUAGACCACAAAAGGUCGCAAAAAUGAAUCUUCCGGACAAAAGUGACCUAGCUAUGCAUCAAUGAAGGAGAAAAGCCCAAAGAUGAAACUCCCCUCUGGCCUUAUUAUAAUGGGUAUAAUUCAUUUAAACUACUGAUAAUAAAUUACAUAGGUUAAGGCAUUCUCAACAAUUCAAAAUCCACAUGCCAAAUUGAUUCCUAAUCGUGCCUUUGGGGGCAGGAAAAUAUGGCACCCACAUAUUGUUAGACUAACAUUUGUCACAUAUCCACCAUCUGUAUGCCAAUUUUACUAUCUCAAACUUCCUUCAUAUGAAAUCUUGAUUUCCAAAAUUACAUUUCGAAGUACUUAUGUACCAAAUUAAAUUAACAUCAACAAAAGAUAUCUAUGGCAUGUACGUUAUUAUCAAGGAUAAUAAAACCUAAAAUGUAAAAUCAAGUGAAAGGACUGCUAAAGAUAUUACUCAAUUUUCAAAUACCAAUUUCACGCUCAGUGGAUUUGGUCAAGAAAAAUCAAAAAGAUCUUCAUUGAUCACUUAUUUCCACUGAAUAAUAAAACUAAGAUAUUUCAAACUUUUACAUUUAGAAAAUUAUUGUCCGUCUAAAUUCUUUUGGUUUAAUUGUCAAAGUUUCACAUGGGAGGAGAACUGGCAGAAGAAGAGGAUGAGGAGUACCAACAGAAUAAAAUAGCAACCCGGAGAAGGAGAUGACAGUGGCACAGCAAGGCAGAGGAAGUGAAGCAGCAGCAGCAUGACAGACAAGUAGAAGUGGAGGGGAGAGAGAAAAUGAAAAAUAUGGCAGCUGCAAGUGACAGUUGCUGAAAUUAAUAAAAAUUGUUGCAGGAACCAAACAGCAAGCUAACUUCUGGGUUUUGGUCCCCCAUGGAUUGUUCAGCAUUUGAUAAGGUUCCAUAGCAACUGAUAUGGACUGUAUUUUGAACCUUGCUUAGUCCUACCACCAAAAACAGAACACUUAUAGAAUGUUUAUUAAAUAAUGCAUUAAAAUAAUGUAUGCAUCUUCCCUUAUUUCAAUAUCAUUAACAAGUACUCUUUAAAACAUCUGAUAAAAACCAAAUCUCUACCUUCUAAAUUCUCAGUAUGACAUUAGAGUCCAAUGAUCCAAGUAACAAAAUUUUGACUUCAAGUUAAGAUUAGCAAGGUUGAUGAAUCAUGCCUCGAUCAAGUUUAGAGGUUUGAAUAUACCAAAGAUGUCAAGAUAAGUUGAAUAGUUUAUAUGAUACAAACAUAUGCUAGAAUCGACAAAGCUAAUGAACCAUGCCUGAAUCAGGAUCCAAUAAUAUUAAAAGAGUUGGAUGAAGCCAACCUGGAUGAAGCCAAUUGGUCAUACCGAUGCCAAUAGGGAUGAUGCAGACAAGAUAUGCAUAACGAUGGACUCUAAACCCUCAAGAACUCUAGGCACUCAACAAGUGAGCGGAAGAUGACCAAACCCAAUAGGACUGAUCGAGCCACACAUGAAAAUCUAAUCCAGUCACACAUGGAAGGGGGAGAUUGUUCAAAGAUCUGAGAUAUUAAUGUCUGAGAUGAGCAUUAUGAUAGGUUUAAGAACAGUCCCGCAUUACUAAGACCAAAAAGGAAUCAGGCCACAUAUUCUGAAGUUGACCUAUUAUAUAAUAGGUUAAGCUUUUAGGUAGUGUUGAUGCUUUCACUACCUUUAAUAGGGCAGCAGAUGUCCUUUCCCCCAACUUUAGUACUUAAAGUUAUCAUAAAAUACUGUAAACCUUGUAUAUGGUCACACUUAAUCUUUUUUAGCCUCCUUUUAUAGCGACAAUGAACCUUCCAAAAUUCUAUUCAUUUUCAUAAUUUUACCUAUCUUUAGGACAUGCUGUAAAUGCCUUUGGAACUUCCUCACACCACCACCAACUUUCCCUUGACAAACAUUCACACCUUUACUCCAAGAACUUCCGUUGAUCUUUAAUCUUACUGUUACCGGCCAUCAUAAUCCACAUGAUACUAGCAACAUUUCCUUACAAAUUUCAAAUCCUUUCCUUUUCCAAGAUACUCUUAAAAGGCCUCAUAUUAACACGUUUCAAACUUCACCAUCUAGUUCUAGUAAAAAAAAAAAUCCCUUUUUCUUCAAUUUUCUAAAACAUAUUUAGGCAGAACUAUAGUAGUUAAAUUUUUCAUUCCUUUAAAAAGGAACAAGAUGCAAAACACCUAGCCUGUGUUGUUUGUUCUUUCUCAAGAGGACCGGUUGUCAGAUGUAUCUUAAGAAGGACCAGUAAAUUAAUAAGAUCGAGUUAAUUCUAAUUCGUCAAAAGAUGUUAAAGAUGGUCACGGUCACCAUUUUUAUGCCCUAAUCUACGACCCUUGUGCCUCUAGCUCUUAGCUCUUCACACCAUCUUGUCAAAGUUAAUGAAUAGUAGAUAACAUAGUAUCUGACUGAAACCAAGGAGGUAAGUAUAUUACUCUAUUUCGUUAAGAUACUCGUCGUUUUUUUUUAAUCUUCUGGCAACACUUCCAAUCAAUCAUACAAUCCGAUGACACAUGUUGUUUUGUUCCAAAGACAAGAAACACAAACUAGCCAAAUCUACCUAUUAACCUAAUGAAUAAAAAUAAUGAUAGUGGCAUGUUUUGAGAACCCAUAAUUUAUUCACGGGUAAAAAUACAGCUAAUAACUCAUAUAAAUAAAGUUAAACCUCAAAAAGAAGCACAUAGAAUAUGAUAUAUCAAAAGUGAGUAAAGCAAAUUAAAAAGAAGCCAAAAAGAUAUUUUUAAUACAUAUAUUGAAGUUAAAUGUUCUGGUUUCAUAUGAACAUUGAUAGUUACAGCUGGAACCACCAAAAUCUGAUCAUAACCUACCAGAUUAGAUGGCAACUAGAAAUGGAAAGUCAAAUCUAACGAAAACCCUUUCCCAAAAAGAACAAAGGUAUCUUUCCAGGUGAAGUUUACGCAUGCACAAGAAUGAAGAUCCAUUAAUUACUCGGAGAAACUAGAAAGUUGCGUUUAUUUCUAGACUACAUGAACCACCAGUCAUAAACCUUCGCUAAAUUUUACACCAGACCGCACAAACAUGCUUGUGAGUUCCUAGUUACAUACAAACAUAUCCAAGGUGUCCUAAUUAACCACACAUCAUAAUAAUU
rnacentral:lncRNA from 1 species